rnacentral:rRNA from 1 species
GUCUACUGCCAUGCCACCCUGAACACAAUGGAUCCUGUCUGUUCUCGGAAGCUAAGCAGGGCCUGGUUAGUACUUGGAUGGGAGACCACCUAGGAAGACCGGGUGCUGUAGCUG